GAUGAACGCUGGCGGCGUGCCUAAUACAUGCAAGUCGAGCGAACAGACGAGGAGCUUGCUCCUCUGACGUUAGCGGCGGACGGGUGAGUAACACGUGGAUAACCUACCUAUAAGACUGGGAUAACUUCGGGAAACCGGAGCUAAUACCGGAUAUAUAUUGAACCCCAUGGUUUCAUAGUGAAAAGCGGUUUUGCUUUUACUUAUAGAUGGAACCGCGCCGUAUUAGCUAGUUGGUAAGGUAACGGCUUACCAAGGCAACGAUACGUAGCCGACCUGAGAGGGUGAUCGGCCACACUGGAACUGAGACACGGUCCAGACUCCUACGGGAGGCAGCAGUAGGGAAUCUUCCGCAAUGGGCGAAAGCCUGACGGAGCAACGCCGCGUGAGUGAUGAAGGUCUUCGGAUCGUAAAACUCUGUUAUUAGGGAAGAACAAACGUGUAAGUAACUGUGCACGUCUUGACGGUACCUAAUCAGAAAGCCACGGCUAACUACGUG
rnacentral:rRNA from 1 species